rnacentral:rRNA from 1 species
CAAAGAUUAAGCCAUGCAUGUCUCAGUGCAAGCCACAUUAAGGUGAAACCGCGAAUGGCUCAUUAAAUCAGUUAUGGUUCCUUAGAUGGUGGACAGUUACUUGGAUAACUGUGGUAAUUCUAGAGCUAAUACAUGCAACUGAGUCCUGACCGGCGACGGAAGGGACGCUUUUAUUAGAUCAAAACCAAUCGGUCGCUCACGCGGCCGUUUGCCUUGGUGACUCUGAAUAAAUUGAGGCGGAUCGCACGGUCUCCGAACCGGCGACGCAUCUUUCAAAUGUCUGCCUUAUCAACUGUCGAUGGUAGGCUCUGCGCCUACCAUGGUUGUAACGGGUAACGGGGAAUCAGGGUUCGAUUCCGGAGAGGGAGCCUGAGAAACGGCUACCACAUCCAAGGAAGGCAGCAGGCGCGCAAAUUACCCACUCCCGGCACGGGGAGGUAGUGACGAAAAAUAACGAUACGGGACUCAUCCGAGGCCCCGUAAUCGGAAUGAGCACACUCUAAAGACUUUAACGAGUAUCCAUUGGAGGGCAAGUCUGGUGCCAGCAGCCGCGGUAAUUCCAGCUCCAAUAGCGUAUAUUAAAGCUGUUGCGGUUAAAAAGCUCGUAGUCGGACUUGUGUCCCACGCUGCCGGUUCACCGCCCGUCGGUGUUUAACUGGCACGCACGUGCGGACGUCCUGCCGGUGGCCCGAGCCGGCGCUCGCGGGUGAGGUGGUCGGUCACGUCCACACACCCCGGGUCGUCUCGGGGAGGGCCUAUACAAUCCCGUCGCGGUGCUCUUGACCGAGUGUCUCGAUGGGCCGGCACGUUUACUUUGAACAAAUUAGAGUGCUUAAAGCAGGCAGCAUCCGCCUGAAUACCGAGUGCAUGGAAUAAUGGAAUAGGACCUCGGUUCUAUUUUGUUGGUUUUCGGAAUCCCCGAGGUAAUGAUCAAAAGGGACAGACGGGGGCAUUCGUAUUGCGACGUUAGAGGUGAAAUUCUUGGAUCGUCGCAAGACGGACAGAAGCGAAAGCAUUUGCCAAGAAUGUUUUCUCUGAUCAAGAACGAAAGUUAGAGGUUCGAAGGCGAUCAGAUACCGCCCUAGUUCUAACCAUAAACGAUGCCAGCCAGCAAUCCGCCGAAGUUCCUCCGAUGACUCGGCGGGCGGCUUCCGGGAAACCAAAGCUUUUGGGUUCCGGGGGAAGUAUGGUUGCAAAGCUGAAACUUAAAGGAAUUGACGGAAGGGCACCACCAGGAGUGGAGCCUGCGGCUUAAUUUGACUCAACACGGGAAACCUCACCAGGCCCAGACACCGGGAGGAUUGACAGAUUGAGAGCUCUUUCUUGAUUCGGUGGGUGGUGGUGCAUGGCCGUUCUUAGUUGGUGGAGCGAUUUGUCUGGUUAAUUCC